CAUGCAGUCGAGCGAUGAAGUUUCUUCGGAAAUGGAUUAGCGGCGAACGGGUGAGGAACACGUGAAGAAUCUGCCCUCCACUUUGGGAUAACACCGGGAAACCGGUGCUAAUACCGAAUAUUGAAACAUAAGUGGCAUCACUGAGUUUUGAAAGAAUUUCCGUGGAGGAUGACUUCCCGGCCUAUCAGCUAGUUGGUGAGGUAAUGGCUCACCAAGGCAACGACGGGUAGCCGGCCUGAGAGGGCGACCGGCCACACUGGGACUGAGACACGGCCCAGACUCCUACGGGAGGCAGCAGUGGGGAAUAUUGGGCAAUGGAGGAAACUCUGACCCAGCGACGCCGCGUGCGGGAUGAAGGCCUUCGGGUUGUAAACCGCUUUCAGUAGGGAAGAAGCGAAAGUGACGGUACCUACAAAAGAAGCACCGGCUAACUAUGUGCCAGCAGCCGCGGUAAUACAUAGGGUGCAAGCGUUGUCCGGAAUUAUUGGGCGUAAAGAGCUCGUAGGUCGUUUGUUACGUCGGAUGUGAAAACCUGAGGCUCAACCUCAGGCCUGCAUUCGAUACGGGCAAACUAGAGUUUGGUAGGGGAGACUGGAAUUCCUGGUGUAGCGGUGGAAUGCGCAGAUAUCAGGAGGAACACCAAUGGCGAAGGCAGGUCUCUGGGCCAAUACUGACACUGAGGAGCGAAAGUCUGGGGAGCGAACAGGAUUAGAUACCCUGGUAGUCCAGACCGUAAACGGUGGGCACUAGUUGUGGGAACCUUCCACGGUUUCUGCGACGCAGCUAACGCAUUAAGUGCCCCGCCUGGGGAGUACGAUCGCAAGAUUAAAACUCAAAGGAAUUGACGGGGCCCCGCACAAGCAGCGGA
rnacentral:rRNA from 1 species